rnacentral:rRNA from 1 species
UGCUCAGUGAUUUUUAACAGCCGCAGUACAUUGACUGUGCUAAGGUAGCAUAAUAAUUUGGCCUUUAAUUGGGGUCUAGAAUGAAAGGAAUAACAUGAAAGUACUGUCUCUAUUAUAUUUUUUAGAAAUUACUAACGAAGUGAAAAUUCUUCGAAGGGAAAAAAAGACGAGAAGACCCUAAGAAUUUGUAGUAAAUUAUAUAAUAUAUUAGGGUUUUUGUUGGGGCGACAAAUUUUCAUGGAACAAAAUUAUUUUUAGGGACAAGAAUUUUUUAAGAAGGAAUAAAUUACCUUAGGGAUAACAGCAUAAUAUUUUAUGAUUGUGACCUCGAUGUUGGACUAGGAAAGCACACUACUAACCGUAAUGUUUAUAGGUUCUGUUCGAACUUUUUCUCCUACGUGAUCUGAGUUCA